UUUCAGGUUCUUAGAGGAGUAUGUACCUUUAAGUAUGGUAUUUAGUAUGUAUUUCAUUAAUGUUUAUUUUCAGGCUGUAACAACUACAGGUUGAACAACAUAUCACUAUAAUUAACAUUUUAUCACCUUUUUCUAGUAUUGCCCUGUACCUGUGAUGUUCGUGUAUGCUGGUCAACCACGCGUGACCACAUCAGUGCAGUCAGUGUGAGCUCUUUUGGUAGCCAUAGCUACAAUACAAACACCCAAGCUAUCUUUAAACUUUGACCCUUGUCUCUUUCUCUCCCAUUGGAUAAUUAACACUCACAUGUAUCUGCAUGCUUUCUUUGGACUGACAAGACAGGACAGAAUUAUUUAGUAUUUGAAGAAACAAGUUCAGAUAAGAGAGAAAUAGUAGAAGUUUAAUUUAAAGGUUAGUAUUAAUUUGUUAUAGAAGAUAAACUUAAAUAAUAAUAGUAAAUGCCUAAUUUUCUAUUCCUGGUAAUGAUUAAUGAAUAAUUCAACAUAUAAUAUUUAAUAAUAAAUCUGCCUUUUAAUUAUUAUGGAUUACAGGGCGUGACAUAAUGAAUGUCAGCCAUCUUUGUUUUCUGCUGUCAAAACUAUAUAUUUUAUGAUUUAAGUGAAGUUUCUGUUUUAGUUGUUAGCUUAUCUGAGUUAAUAAUUUAGCUACGUUUAAUCAAUUGUUUUUAUGACGAACUACACCAAAGCAUUGGUUUUGGAAUGAAUUAGUUUAAAUGUUUUAGUUCUGAAUGUAUAAUAGAUAUAUGGAAACCAUAUACUAAACAAUUGAUAUUAUGAAUUUAUUUUUAUGCAGGUUUCCCCAGUUGUUAUGGAAUAUAUCAACACAAUGCCUACGUGUAAUUCAUAUGGGUGUGUCUUGUGUAUUAUGUUUACAUGAAUAAAAGAUGAUGCCCUAACCCGUA